UACAUUUCUGCACUUCAAGCUCUCUCCCGUAUCCUCUCUUUCUGAUUGCUCUCUAUAUAAAACUGAUAUGAGGUGCCUUUCCACUGGUCCAAAAUUCCUGCUAUGAUUCUCCAAAUCUGAAUUUGUUAAGGGAGUCAAAAAUAAUGGCUUUUGACUUGGAACCUUGGCUAUAUCUCUUCCUUAUGUCUUCUGAAGCAUGUGCAGCCUACGUUUUCUCUCCAACUCUAGCUGGAAAGUAGUGUGAAGAUGAGAAAAAUGGCUGAGCAAAUUACAGAAAUUCGGCUGCCAUACACGUUUUCACUUUUGACCUCACUUCAACUGCAUUUGUCUCCAUGAUGAAGGCCGAACUGGCUUUUGUGUAAAACACAAAAGUUGUAUCCCUUUGAAUUAGCGUUCCAAUGCUUCAAGAAUCAUCUAAUUUGGAGGUCGGUGGACGGAGAUAUGGUCAAAAUACCAUAGACUGGUCAAUUCUGGGCUUCAGCUUUCGACCAUCCAGAUAAGUUUCUGUGUUUCGACCUUUUGACCAAGAAAACGGCUGAAUUGGAUUUUGAUGUCUUCAUACCAAAUGUAGAUAUAUCUCUUAGCUUCAAAAUGGUACCAAGAUCACCUUGAUCCGAUCAUUGUAGCUCCUGAUAUAGUCAAAAUACGAAAAUGUGUCUGAGUUGUCAAAGUUGACUUUUCUUGAUUUUUUUUGUCCUCAAAUUGCAUUUCUUCCUUUUACACUUCAUAUUUUAAUUUCACCACUUUAAUCCAUCUUCAAUCAUCCAAAUAUCUUCCCAAUGCACUUCAUUUGAUGAUUGAAUUAUUAAACCUACAAAAUAUGAAGUUUUUUACCAUAAAAAUCCAUAAAAUGCAAUGUUUAGCCAUUUUAACAUAAAAUGUAGUUUUUUUACCAAAACCUUAGUUAUUUUAGUUAUAAAACUAAAUAAUCAAACCAAAAUUAACUAAUAAAACACACUAAAAAUACGUAAAAUAAACUCUUAUCACUAACAAAUUGAGAUUGUUAUAUAUCUGUGGUUGACAAAAAGUUAAAUUUUCACAACAAUAGAAGUAAAAUGUGUAAAUUUUGCCUACUCAUGUGCAAGGGUUUUGAAGAGGAAUAUGAUCAAAGCUAUAUAAUAGAGUACUUUUAAGUUUCAAACAUGGCAGUUUUCAUGGAAGAAUGACCACUAAAACAUAAGCUAAGUUUCCAUAAGUUAGUACAUCUUCAGCACAAAAAAGAGGAUAGAAAUAAAGAAAAUUUGAAUCAGACCCAUCGUCAAACAGCAAAGGAACCAAUAUUGUAGCUUAAUUUGAUAUGUAUAAGCUUAGAGAGGCGACUUUGAAAAAGUAAUAUGAAGUUGAGAAAUGACGAACAAUGAAAGAGGAAUGUUUUUAAUAAAUACCCAUUGAAUACUUGUUCGCACAUUUAAAUUAUACCUAAUGAUAAGAGUUUAUUUUACGUAUUUUUAAGAGCAUUUUAUUAGUUAAUUUUCAGUUGAUUAUUUAGUUUUAUAAUUAAAAUAAAGAAGUUUUUGGUAAAAUUAUAUAUUUUUGGUAAAAGUGGAUAAUAUUGCAUUUCUAUUUAUUUUAAUGGUAAAAACUUCAUUUUCUUGCAGGUUAAUGAUCCAAUCACCAAAAGAUGUCAAAUGAGGCGAAAAGUAGAUAAUUGGUGAUGAAUUCAAGUGGUAGAAAAGAGAAAUGAAGUGAAAAAUGUUCAAGUGAGAAAAUGCAAGUCAAGACAGUUUUGACAUUCUUCGGUAUUUUGGCUAUAUCUAGAGUUAUACUUAUCGGAUUGAGGUGAUCUUUAUACCAUUUUAAAGGUAAGAAAGAGGUCUACAAUUGGUAUGAAGACAUCGAAAUCCAAUUCUGCUGUUUUCAUAGACAAAAAGUCGAAAUACAGAAGUUGCAUUCUGUGGUCGGAAAUUGAAACAGGGGUUUGACCAGAGGAUGGUAUUUUGACCAUAUCUCAGCCUACAAAAGUCCAAAUGGGAUGAUUCUUGAUGCUAUGGAAAGAUAAUUCAAAGAGGAUACGGGGGAGAGAACUUGAAGUGCAGAAAUGUAGUUCUUUCAUUUCCUUAGUGUAGGAUAGUGUAGUAAGUGUAGUUAAUCCAUUCUUGUAUAAUAGCUAGAUUAGGAUGAAGAUGGAGAUGAAGAAGGAGAAGUUGAAGCUCAAGUGACAUGGGUUAUCUCUACUCCAAUUCUUUAUCUUUUGUAUUGGAUUCUUAACUAUG
rnacentral:lncRNA from 1 species